rnacentral:rRNA from 1 species
AUACGUAGGGUGCGAGCGUUGUCCGGAAUUACUGGGCGUAAAGAGCUCGUAGGUGGUUUGUCGCGUCGUCUGUGAAAUUCCGGGGCUUAACUCCGGGCGUGCAGGCGAUACGGGCAUAACUUGAGUACUGUAGGGGAGACUGGAAUUCCUGGUGUAGCGGUGAAAUGCGCAGAUAUCAGGAGGAACACCGGUGGCGAAGGCGUGUCUCUGGGCAGUAACUGACGCUGAGGAGCGAAAGCAUGGGUAGCGAAAAGGAUUGGAUACCCUGGUAGUCCAUGCCGUAAACGGUGGGCGCUAGGUGUAGGGGUCUUCCACGACUUCUGUGCCGUAGCUAACGCAUUAAGCGCCCCGCCUGGGGAGUACGGCCGCAAGGCUAAAACUCAAAUGAAUUGACGGGG